rnacentral:rRNA from 1 species
GCUCCUACGGGAGGCAGCAGUGGGAAUCUUGCACAAUGGGCGAAAGCCUGAUGCAGCCAUGCCGCGUGAAUGAUGAAGGCCUUAGGGUUGUAAAAUUCUUUCGCCAGGGAUGAUAAUGACAGUACCUGGUAAAGAAGCCCCGGCUAACUUCGUGCCAGCAGCCGCGGUAAUACGAAGGGGCGUAGCGUUGUUCGGAAUUACUGGGCGUAAAGCGCGCGUAGGCGGGUUGUUAAGCCAGAUGUGAAAGCCCGGAGCUCAACUCCGGAAUUGCAUUUGGAACUGGCAACCUAGAGGCCAGGAGAGGUCAGUGGAAUACCGAGUGUAGAGGUGAAAUUCGUAGAUAUUCGGUGGAACACCAGUGGCGAAGGCGACUGACUGGACUGGUACUGACGCUGAGGUGCGAAAGUGUGGGGAGCAAACAGGAUUAGAUACCCUGGUAGGCUCUGC